AACGCGAAGAACCUUACCAGCUUUUGACAUGCCUUGGACGGAUACCAGAGAUGGUUUCUUCUCUUCGGAGCCAGGGACACAGGUGCUGCAUGGCUGUCGUCAGCUCGUGUCGUGAGAUGUUGGGUUAAGUCCCGCAACGAGCGCAACCCUCGCCCUUAGUUGCCAUCAUUAAGUUGGGCACUCUAGGGGGACUGCCGGUGAUAAGCCGCGAGGAAGGUGGGGAUGACGUCAAGUCCUCAUGGCCCUUACAAGCUGGGCUACACACGUGCUACAAUGGCGGUAACAAUGGGACGCGAAAGGGUGACCUCUAGCAAAUCUCAAAAAGCCGUCUCAGUUCGGAUUGUACUCUGCAAUUCGAGUACAUGAAGUUGGAAUCGCUAGUAAUCGUAGAUCAGAACGCUACGGUGAAUACGUUCCCGGGCCUUGUACACACCGCGUGUCU
rnacentral:rRNA from 1 species